rnacentral:lncRNA from 1 species
UGAAAUGUCAUCGUUUUGAGGAGUGGGAGAGCAGGCGGGGGAAGUCAAUAGAGGAGAGAAGACAGAGGGUGGACUCUCAUCCAGAGCAGCCUGAUGGAGUGCCCUUUUUUUAAAUACCCAGAUGCGAGGGAGCGGAUUAGGAGAUUACGGCUCUCUGAAUCCAUUCAGAUGUUGUUUGAUUUUGUGGGGGAGGAUGAUGCCUCGAGUGAGGUUUUUACCCCCCGGGCAGCAGCGGGCUUCGCAACCCUGAAGAGCACGAUUAACGGGUCAUUGGAGGACCAUGGCAUUCGGGAGUCAACAACACUGUAUGUGUUGUGGUUGUCUGUGGAGGAUGUGCAGGCAAUCCUAUCACCUCACCUCUCACCGGCCCCCCCACUUUCUCCUUCUCACUCACCUUCGCCUUCACCUUCCCCUCCCUAAUCUCCAUCUCCAUCAUCGGACCCAGAG